CAGUCGCCGCGGGAAUACGAAGGGUGCAAGCGUUAAUCGGAAUUACUGGGCGUAAAGCGUGCGUAGGCGGUGAGUUAAGUCUGCUGUGAAAUCCCCGGGCUCAACCUGGGAAUGGCAGUGGAUACUGGCUCGCUAGAGUGUGUCAGAGGAUGGUGGAAUUCCCGGUGUAGCGGUGAAAUGCGUAGAGAUCUGGAGGAAUACCGAUGGCGAAGGCAGCCAUCUGGCCUAAUACUGACGCUGAGGUACGAAAGCAUGGGGAGCAAACAGGAUUAGAUACCCCUGUAGUCCCUGUCUCUUAUAC
rnacentral:rRNA from 1 species